AUGCUGGGGUAAUGUUUUCCUUUGUGAUUUAUUUAUAUGUUAGUCAUGAGAAGAGAAAAAGGGAAGGCUAUAGAUUGACUCAAUGCAUUUAUGUUGUAUAGAUAUUCAAAUCCCAAAAGCAAAAGUGAAGAUCAAUUUUCUUUUCACUGAAAUUCAUCCGUAACAAUCCAUGUUAUUGCCAAAUAUGUGAUCAGGAAAUUUCAGCUUCUUGGGAACAAAUGGAACUAUGGAAGAAUCAUCUUCCCUUCUUCCCUGAACCAUAAUUCCUUAUAUAGCUGCUUCCUUUCGGAUAACUGGUAGAAAGUGCGCUCAGGACUUCUGCAGAUUUGGGUUGGAUUUACUGAAGAUGAUAACAAAAGGAAAUGCUUCCACUCACUUAAUAUCAUCAAAGGGACAUUUGUAGGUUGACUUAAUUGAGGAUCAGUUAUAGCCAUUUUGAAAUGAAGCAAGGAGUUUUUCCAAUGAUCCUGGCUGAACUGAUUGCAAGAUUCUAAUCUCAAAAGAGAGUAAUGAAUCCUUGUCAAUGCUGUUACGAAAGAGUAAACUUGCUGUUCUUUCUUUUUGAGGGACUGAUUCUUGGAUGACAUUUUGGAGCUUCCUGUUUGGACAAGUUUCAGUGGAAUAAAUGUUGCCAUUGUUGUAUUUCUAAUUACACUUCUUGCUAACAGUUUGAAGCGUUAUUUUCUUCAAGAUA